AGCCAUCAUUUAAAGAAAGCGUAAUAGCUCACUGGUCGAGUCGGCCUGCGCGGAAGAUGUAACGGGGCUAAACCAUGCACCGAAGCUGCGGCAGCGACGCUGAUGCGUUGUUGGGUAGGGGAGCGUUCUGUAAGCCUGUGAAGGUGUGCUGUGAGGCAUGCUGGAGGUAUCAGAAGUGCGAAUGCUGACAUAAGUAACGAUAAAGCGGGUGAAAAGCCCGCUCGCCGGAAGACCAAGGGUUCCUGUCCAACGUUAAUCGGGGCAGGGUGAGUCGACC
rnacentral:rRNA from 1 species